AUUGAACGCUGGCGGCAUGCCUUACACAUGCAAGUCGAACGGUAACGGGCCUUCGGGUGCCGACGAGUGGCGAACGGGUGAGUAAUGCAUCGGAACGUACCCAUCAGUGGGGGAUAACUCUCCGAAAGGAGGGCUAAUACCGCAUAUUCUGUGCGCAGGAAAGCGGGGGACCGCAAGGCCUCGCGCUGAUGGAGCGGCCGAUGUCAGUUUAGCUAGUUGGUGGGGUAAAGGCCUACCAAGGCGACGAUCUGUAGCGGGUCUGAGAGGAUGAUGCGCCACACUGGGACUGAGACACGGCCCAGACUCGGACGGGAGGCAGCAGUGGGGAAUUUUGGACGAUGGGGGCAACCCUGAUCCAGCCAUGCCGCGUGAGUGAAGAAGGCCUUCGGGUUGUAAAGCGCUUUCGGCCGGGAAGAAAUCGCAUCUCCUAAUACGGGGUGUGGAUGACGGUACCGGAAUAAGAAGCACCGGCUAACUACGUGCCAGCCGCCGCCGUAAUAC
rnacentral:rRNA from 1 species